GAUGAACGCUGGCGGCGUGCCUAACACAUGCAAGUCGAGCGAUUCCUUUGGGAAGAGCGGCGGACGGGUGAGUAACGCGUGGGUAACCUGCCCUAUACACACGGAUAACAUACCGAAAGGUAUGCUAAUACGAGAUAAUAUGAAUUUAUCGCAUGGUAGAUUCAUCAAAGCUCUGGCGGUAUAGGAUGGACCCGCGUCUGAUUAGCUAGUUGGUAAGGUAAUGGCUUACCAAGGCGACGAUCAGUAGCCGACCUGAGAGGGUGAUCGGCCACAUUGGAACUGAGACACGGUCCAAACACCUACGGGAGGCAG
rnacentral:rRNA from 1 species